UACGGGGGGGGGCAAGCGUUGUUCGGAAUUACUGGGCGUAAAGGGCGCGUAGGCGGCGACCCAAGUCAGAUGUGAAAGUCCUGGGCUUAACCUGGGGACUGCAUUUGAUACUGGGUUGCUUGAAUUCGGGAGAGGAUAGCGGAAUUCCCAGUGUAGAGGUGAAAAUUCGUAGAUAUUGGGAAGAACACCGGUGGCGAAGGCGGCUAUCUGGACCGACAUUGACGCUGAGGCGCGAAAGCGUGGGGAGCAAACAGG
rnacentral:rRNA from 1 species